GCUUACGGCCACACCACCCUGAACACGUCUGAUCUCGGAAACUAAGCAGGGUCGGGCCUGGUCAGUACUUGGAUGGGAGACCGCCUGGGAAUACCAGGUGCAGUAAGCU
rnacentral:rRNA from 1 species